ACGGUGCUGAAUGUGGCCUU
rnacentral:miRNA from 1 species